AUGUGCCAACUCAGACAGAAAACAGGAUUCAAAGAGGAGCUUUUGUUGAGGAGGGAUGAUGAAAAAGAUGUGUUUGCUCCUCACGGGCUGCGGAAAUAAAGAAUUUAUUAGUCAUAGAUGAGCCAGAUGAAUGAAAACUAAACCUGCUUAAGGGAAGGCAUUAAGAAGACCAUGUCCUCUGUAGAAGAUGAGUCAUUAGAGAAUGAUAAGGGCAGAAGAGUCUUCGGAUUCUGGAAUGGCAUUCAAGUGAUUGUAUUUGCUGGAGGAAAUGGUGAUUAUUUAUACCUUUGCAAGUGACCACUUGCUAUCAAAGCCCUCAAGUCUCUGGGGAGAGGAAGAAACCUUGCUUGGAUGACAAUCAUACGGUCUCUUUACAAGCAUGAAAUAGUGCCAUCAAUUUUAGCAGCACUUUGGGAAACAAAGCAAAACAAACAGAAAAAACUCUCACCUUGCUCCCUGCUGUCCUUCUUCCCAGCCCACACACAGCCUUUUGACAGCUCAACUGUGUGACUUUUGGAUCUUCCUUAUAAGGAUGUUUGAAAAGAUAUAAGUGACAGGAAUCAAUGCACAUCAUCUUAAUUACUAAACACAGUUUAUUGUAAGCCCUUUAGCUCCCAAUAAUUAAGAUAAAUGCUCCGUCCUCACACUAAGGCUGGGUCUACUUUUCCACAAAAGGUAGAAACAUUAGUUAGGAAAUUCUAAUAAUCCCAAACUGACUCUUCUGUCAAAGACAUCUUGAACUAUAAGGAGAACUGCCUCAGAUAUGCAGACCCUACUUCUUUAUAAAUAUCCUAGUAUCUGCUGUGCAUGCAUCUCCUUCUUCUUGGUGUUGUAUUUCAGUAACCCACAAGUAGUUGUGGUAUAACCUGUGGAAGGGCAGGAUUCUCCUCUGACAAUUUUUGUAAAUAUAUUUUUCAAAAUGUAUACAUGUUUUUAGAUUGGGGAGUAAGACACACUGAUUGUAGAACAAUACAAUAUAAAAUAUCUGAAAUAUGUAGAUAUGGAUAUAGACACCACAGUGUAAAGGCUUCCUCAGCAUCUGGGAAUCUCUGGAGAUUUGGUGAUCGCAGGGAUGCAUAGUUUCCCUAGCAUCCUGUCAGGGGAAUAGAGAUCUGCAUAAGUAUCCAGUGAGCUAAUCUCCCAAGGUGACAACCUGGGGACAUCCAGUCAUUUUCCUGGGAAGUGGGGCGGGGGCAUUUGCAUUUUCUACAACUCAAUUUUUUAUACAACUGGAGACUUUGCAUCCACCAUCUUGACCCUCAAAUCUACCUUGUUAGCUAGACAACCUCUGUAUUUGGCAUCCUCAGUUCCCUACAAAAUCCCUCAGUAACUUCCUGCCUCCUGCAGUAGAAAGGCAAACAAGCUGUGUGUUUGGUCUUCAUCCUCCUUGGUUGAUUUGCUCUUCUAUCAAUGUCACCUUGAAGCCCCACUAAUGAGGAUGCUCAGUGGUAUCUCUGUAGCCCCCAGACUUGGAUUAUACUUUCCCUUCAGACUGGACCUUUUUCACCACUCUUGCCAGGCUUUCUCCUGCUCGUCCUGUAAUGUGCAGCUUGGCAACCACCUUGUCCUGGAAGGGGCUACUCUAUUUUCCCAUGAUCCUUUGCACAUCUCUCUAUCGUUACUGAUUGGAUAGAUGAAAUUUCACCCUGAGCUUAGAACUACUGCUUUAGUCCUGGCUGAGAUGUUGCCUGGAAAGGGGAUGCUUGAUGAAUUCCCAGUUAUUUCCACCUGCAAGAGGAAAGGGCUGAAUUGGAAAGAUAAAUAAGGAAAGAGCUGAAGGGGUUCAGGAAAAAUUAUCCCCCCAAAAUGGCACCUCAGCACAUUGAAGAAAUAGGGAGAAGCAGGAAGGCCAUUUGCACCUUACCUCGCCUUUCUUCAUUAAAGUAGGUCAUAAACCUAGGAGGAAUUUUUCUGAACUUCCCUUGAAAUAGAUCAUAAGAUGCUUAUGCAAAAAGUGUCCUCUUUAUACUAGGAAGAGGAGAAUUCUUAUUUCUGAAGGCCAAAGGUCAUGGAGCAGAAUAAAGACAAACAGGACUAAGUUCCCCCAGUUCAUUACUGUUAGCUCACCCCUUCUGUACCUUACCACAUGUGUAUCUCCACGGCUGCCCACUCUUCAUCAAACCCGACAUAAAAAUGUGUACAUGGAACCGUUUCUUCAGGUCUUUAUUUCCUUAUGAAGGUUCCUGGGUCACACAAAACUUA